GUUUGAUCCUGGCUCAGAACGAACGCUGGCGGCGUGGAUAAGACAUGCAAGUCGAACGGAGGACUUAGAGCUUGCUUUGGGUCCUUAGUGGCGAACGGGUGAGUAACACGUGAGUUACCUGCCCAGAAGACGGGGAUAGCCCAGGGAAACUUGGAUUAAUACCCGAUGUGAUCGCAAGAUUAAAGGUGGCUUCGGCUGCCGCUUCUGGAUGGGCUCGCGGCCUAUCAGCUAGUUGGUGAGGUAACGGCCCACCAAGGCGACGACGGGUAGCUGGUCUGAGAGGAUGACCAGUCACACUGGAACUGAGACACGGUCCAGACACCUACGGGUGGCAGCAGUCGAGAAUCAUUCACAAUGGGCGAAAGCCUGAUGGUGCGACGCCGCGUGGAGGAUGACGAUCUUCGGAUUGUAAACUCCUGUCAUCAGGGAGUAACGCUCUGGCGUUAAUAGCGUCAUGAGCUUGAUAGUACCUGAAGAGGAAGGGGCGGCUAACUCCGUGCCAGCAGCCGCGGUAACACGGAGGCCCCGAGCGUUGUUCGGAAUUACUGGGCGUAAAGAGUGCGUAGGCGGCGAGGCAAGUCAGAUGUGAAAGCCCAGGGCUCAACCCUGGAACUGCAUCCGAUACUGCCUUGCUUGAGGGUUGGAGAGGAGACUGGAAUUCACGGUGUAGCAGUGAAAUGCGUGGAUAUCGUGAGGAAGACCAAAGGCGAAGGCAGGUCUCUGGACAACUCCUGACGCUGAGGCACGAAGGCCAGGGGAGCGAAAAGGAUUAGAUACCCUUGUAGUCCUGGCAGUAAACGGUGCACGCUUGGUGUGGGGAGGUUCGACCCUCUCCGUGCCGUAGCCAACGUGUUAAGCGUGCCGCCUGGGGAGUACGGCCGCAAGGUUAAAACUCAAAGAAAUUGACGGGGACCCGCACAAGCGGUGGAGUAUGUGGCUUAAUUCGAUGCAACGCGAAGAACCUUACCUAGGUUUGACAUGCAUCUCUAAGCUUAUGAAAGUAAGUGAGCGUCGCAAGACGCAAUUUGCACAGGUGCUGCAUGGCUGUCGUCAGCUCGUGUCGUGAGAUGUUGGGUUAAGUCCCGCAACGAGCGCAACCCCUGUUAUCAGUUGCCAGCGGUUCGGCCGGGGACUCUGAUAAGACUGCCCAGAUCAACUGGGAGGAAGGUGGGGACGACGUCAAGUCAGUAUGGCCUUUAUACCUAGGGCUGCACACGUACUACAAUGCCCAGUACAAUGUGAACCGAGACCGCGAGGUGGAGGAAAUCUCAAAAACUGGGCUCAGUUCGGAUUGAAGGCUGCAACUCGCCUUCAUGAAGUCGGAAUCGCUAGUAAUGGCGCAUCAGCUACGGCGCCGUGAAUACGUUCCCGGGUCUUGUACACACCGCCCGUCACAUCAUGGAAGCCGGCAGCGCCCGAAGUGUCUGUGCCAACCUAUUGGAAGCAAGGCCCUAAGGUGAAGCUGGUAACUGGGAUGAAGUCGUAACAAGGUAACC
rnacentral:rRNA from 1 species